rnacentral:rRNA from 1 species
UGGGGAAUUUUGGACAAUUGGGCGAAAGCCUGAUCCAGCAAUGCCGCGUGUGUGAAGAAGGCCUUCGGGUUGUAAAGCACUUUUGUCCGGAAAGAAAUCCUUGGCUCUAAUACAGUCGGGGGAGUACGGUACCGGAAGAAUAAGCACCGGCUAACUACGUGCCAGCAGCCGCGGUAAUACGUAGGGUGCAAGCGUUAAUCGGAAUUACUGGGCGUAAAGCGUGCGCAGGCGGUUUGCUAAGACCGAUGUGAAAUCCCGGCCGUCACUAGGCAUGGAAUGUGAUGCUGGCAGGCUAGAGUAUGGCAGAGGGGGUGGAAAUAUCCACGUGUAGCAGUGAAAUGCGUAGAGAUGUGGAGGAAUACCGAUGGCGAAGGCAG